CUAAGUUUGAUGGCGACCGGCGCACGGGUGAGUAACACGUAUCCCAACCCCGCCCGAUGACUCGGGGGAUAGCCUUUCGAAAGAAAGAUUAAUACCCGAUGGCAUAGUUCUUCCGCAUGGUAGAACUAUUAAAGAAUUUCGGUCAUCGAUGGGGGAUGCGUUCCAUUAGGUUGUUGGCGGGGGUAACGGCCCACCAAGCCUUCGAUGGAUAGGGGUUCUGAGAGGAAGGUCCCCCACAUUGGAACUGAGACACGGUCCAAACUCCUACGGGAGGCAGCAUG
rnacentral:rRNA from 1 species